UUCCACUCAGCCAUCGAUAUGUUGAAAAAUUACCCCCAAUUUUUAACUAAAUUUUUGCAUGGGAAAUCAACAAGCGUAUUUUUAGCGAGAGACAAAUUACAUACACUGGUUUACAGCAAAAAUGUUCUGUUGUAUAUUGCAUGUGCACGCUUCUAGCUUGCAAUUACGACUCGCUUUAUUUCGGAAUUCUCUUAGCGUUGAUACAAGUUAUACUUAUCGAUAAGUACAUACUAUUAUCUAUGCUACAUCUCCCCUUUUUCAUAUAGCUUUCACACGGAGCUGCAUCGUUAUAUAUUGAUUAACAUUUCCUCUAUAAGUAACUCUAAUCUUAGUUUUUAAAAUUUAAAUUUGAUUUAAUUCAUUACUUUUUUUUUUUUUUUUUUCAAAUAUAGUAUGAAUCUGUAUUACAUAAUCGCUUAAAAAUAUAGUACAUUUUAUUGGUAGUUCAGACCACUACGAGUGCGUUUUGCCCUUGUACAUGCUUUGUCGUCAGGGAAGGAGUGAUGUACUGUAGGGUUUUCUACAAUAACACGUUUACCAGCCUUAUUAUGUAUCUCGAACGAUAGGCCGCACGAACGAUUCGUCUGUAGGCGAUAUCGUCACGGAUUGCAAUUUUGUAACUCUGUCGUUCGUCUUCGUCUUGUCUUUACGUCGAUUACGUUGCAAUCGUCUCGGUUACGUUGUAUGAUGUUGCCGGAUGAAAUUUUGAUGUACUUCCAAAGAGUUUUUCUUAGAUUUCUCAUAUUUUCAGCUUAUUUCAAUGCUUUUUAUUUUAAAUGGGCAACAUCGGAAUUGUUUACAUUUUGGUUUUGCUUAAAAGUGUUUUGGUUGUGUUGCGGAAAGAGAUAUAAGGAAAAUUAAUUUUUAAAAAUGUAUGCUGCUAUAGCGCUAAUGGACGCCGAGGAAUCCGAAGAAAGGGAAAGGCGAAUACAGAGGAGGAGAUUGCGAGACCACACCAAUGUAAUGGACCUACCUGAGACUGAAUUUGUUGCAAAUUUCCGAAUCAAUAAAGAAAUAUUCCAAUACAUAUUAAACGAAUUAAAAGAGCACAUGGCUCCAUCACAUAGAAGCACCCACCUAUCGCAGCAGCUAAAACUCGCGACUUUUUUAAGAUUUCUCGCCACCGGCAGUUACCAAAAAUCUGUUGGUAACGAAAAUAUUUCGUCGAUGGGGCAGUCAACUGCAGCCAACGUGAUCAGGGAAUGCCUAAAUAUUUUUGAGGACCAUUUUUGCCAGAAAUGGGUGAAUUUUAGGAGAAACAUCGAUGAGGAAAAUGCAGUUAAAGCACAUUUCUUUGAGAAAUACGGAAUACCUAGGGUUAUCGGUUGUGUUGAUGGAACACACGUUCGUAUUAAGUCGCCAGGAAGUGACAACCACCAUUUAUACCUCAACCGCAAGGGUUUUUACAGUCUUAAUGUAAUGGCGGUAGGUUAAUGAUUUACUAUCUUUACAAGUAUACAUAUACACAAACUGAGUUUCCUUACAGAUAUGCGAUCACAACAUGGUAAUCACAUUUGUUGACGCUAGGCAUCCAGGGGCGAAUCAUGAUUCAUUUGUUUGGAAUGUGAGUCACGCAGAACAGGAGCUAAAAUCUGAUUAUAACAAUGGAAAAAUCAACACAUGGCUACACGGUAAGUUUUAAAACUUAAAAAGGCCAUAAAACUAUUACUGACAAUGAAAAUUUUUGUAGGGGAUUCUGGUUACCCCUUGCAGCCAUACUUGAUGACGCCAUUCAGAAGCGCAGCCGAUGAAAUUCAACGAAUUUACAACACAAAGCACUCGAAAGCUCGUAAUGUAAUUGAGAGAUGUUUCGGUGUUUUGAAAAACCGAUUUCGAUGUAUAAUUGGCUCGAGAGGGCUACACUAUUCACCAGAAAAAGUUACACAAAUUGUAAAUGUGUGCUGUGCUAUUCAUAACGUUUGUAUAUUUUUCAAACAUCAAAUUCCAUUGGAGAGCCCAGAUAUGGAGAAUCUUGUUAGUUACGAAGACGAACUGGAAAACAGUGACAUUUCGAAUACAGCUGCCCUUAUUAGAAUGAGAAUAGCAGA